UACGGGGGGAGCAAGCGUUGUUCGGAUUUACUGGGCGUAAAGGGCGCGUAGGCGGCGCAACAAGUCACUUGUGAAAUCUCCGGGCUUAACCCGGAGCGGCCAAGUGAUACUGUCGUGCUAGAGUGCGGAAGGGGCUACUGGAAUUCUCGGUGUAGCGGUGAAAUGCGUAGAUAUCGAGAGGAACACCUGCGGCGAAGGCGGGUAGCUGGGCCGACACUGACGCUGGAGGCGCGAAAGCCAGGGGAGCGAACGGG
rnacentral:rRNA from 1 species